rnacentral:rRNA from 1 species
AUUGAACGCUGGCGGAAUGCUUUACACAUGCAAGUCGAGCGGCAGCGCGGGGCAACCUGGCGGCGAGCGGCGAACGGGUGAGUAAUGCAUCGGAACGUACCCCGUCGUGGGGAAUAACUACCCGAAAGGGUAGCUAAUACCGCAUACGACCUGAGGGUGAAAGCGGGGGGACCGAAAGGCCUCGCGCGAUGGGAGCGGCCGAUGCCGGAUUAGCUAGUUGGUAGGGUAAAGGCCUACCAAGGCGACGAUCCGUAGCUGGUCUGAGAGGACGACCAGCCACACUGGAACUGAGACACGGUCCAGACUCCUACGGGAGGCAGCAGUGGGGAAUUUUGGACAAUGGGCGAAAGCCUGAUCCAGCCAUUCCACGUGAGUGAAGAAGGCCUCGGUGUAAG